CAAUUGCUAAGCACUAUCAGAGACUUGGAGGGAAAUAUACAAACUUUUACUAGAAAAAUUGAAUUGCUGAAAAGUCGAGCAGCAGAUUUGCACGUAGAAUCACAAAAUGCAGCACAUCUUUCUGGAAAAAAAAGGCAAGAGAGAGGUUGAAGAUUGGUUGAUUAACGUCGGAAGAUGUAUACGAGAAUUCGAAAGCUUGGAACAAGAAGUACAAUCCAACAGAUUUUAUCUUGCUUAUUCACAACAAAAGUUGGCAGAAGGAGUUGAAAGAAUGAUCAAGGAAGUGGCAGAGCUUGUUGAGCAAGCGGAUUUUUCUGGAGGGCUUUUUCUUGAGGAUAAUGAGAGUAUUGGGUUAAAGUUGCAAGAUCUAUUUUUAGACGAAAAAUGGUAGUUCGAUUGCUCUGUUGGAAUCUGGUUUCGAGUUCUAUCCAUAGAUCAAACGGGGUAGCACAAUAAACAAGGCUACUAGCAAGGGUCUUUUCUAUGGAGUGGAGGUGCCACGACAUGAUCAUGUCGCAACAUCGAUCCCAGAGGGCUGAAGCAGUGGGAUCGGUGGGUUUGGAGAGAGUUCCGUUAACAAACCCCAGCUUAUUCUUAGCAUUGAGAGCCCGAGUAACUGCCCGGCGCCAAGCGGAGUAAUUAUCACCAUUCAAUGGUGUAUCGACAAGCACAUUACUGGGUUGAUCGGAGGAGUGAAGAAAAUAUGGCGAGGAGGCAUCUGUGAUUGCUUUGGUGAUGUCAAGAGUGGGUUGAGCAACCAUCGGAGGUAAGAUUGCUAAACCUAUGCGUCUGAUACCAUGUUAAAGUGCUGAAUGAGUGUGGACUUUUCAUUGAUUUGGUAAUUGUGGAUACAAUGCAUAUAUGCACAAAAAUAAUAAAGUCUAAAUAAGGCAUUUCACAAUUACAGUGGAUGAAAUCUCGGUA
rnacentral:lncRNA from 1 species